CUCCGGAUUAGUAAUGGGUGACUUGGCCCCCUGGCUGAUGACCUGGCAAGAAAGGAGCUAUCAUGUGUCAUAUCACAGACCGCCACAGACACCCGGGGCAAUGUGAUUUGUCACUUCAAGGAGGAGGCAGCCUGAGAGUGUCCCAUCCUCCGGCUGCUGAGUCAUCCUACUCCAGUAGGUAUUUAAAGAGAAGCCUCCGACAGACACACCAGCAACACCUCACUCGGACAAUGCCCACACUUCCAGAAGUCAUGUCUAGCUUGGACUGCCCACAAGUGCAAUUUCCAAAAACAGCUUCUGUCCUCUUUUCCCCAUAUUGUCACACUAGGGUUCUGACUUCUGGCUCUUUUCCUCAAAACCAGCCUAUCCAGCCAGUCCUCCUAGGGCACCUUGGCCCCAGAGGCCAUCAAUUCCUGUGCAAGUUUCCUCAUGGUCUCUCUGACUUCACUUUCUUAUAUUUCUUUGAUGUCAACAAACUCUGGCUGAGUGUCUGUUAUGGGUUAGGCACUGAGCUAUAGGUAAGGGUUGGUUAAAAAACAAGUAAGACACAUUCCUUGCCUUUCAGGAGCUCCCAAUCCAGUGGAAGAGACAGUCAGGAAACCAGGCAACCACAAUGCACAAAGUGAUGGCUCUAAGACAGGUGCUGUUGAUGAAAGUGCUAAAGGAGCUGGAUGUGACUGACGUCUUUGGGAAGGACAGGAUUUACCAUGCGCAUGCAGUUGUUGUGUCCAAAUGCCGUUCUUACCUCCCGAUGGAAAGCCUGUCUAUAAAAAUGAAGAGUGUAGAAGAAAUGAGACAGAAUGGCUACGCGAUUAAGAUCUCAGGCUUUGCAUUCCAAUCCAAUUCUAUUCUGCUGCUUGUUAGGAUUCCACAUGGACAGCAAGAGUACAGCACGGGAGGUCUCCACCUGCGGCCCAUGGACCACUUGUGUGGAGAGUGGCUGGGAUAUGUGGCAAAAAUGCAGGUUCUUAGACCCCACUCCAAACCACACACUCAGAAUGUCUUGUGGUGGGGCCCCGAAAUCCAUCUUAUUAGGCAGCCCAUCAGAGAUGCCUAUGAACACUUAAGUUUGAAUACUACUGUCCAGAGGGUGAGGGUGGGAGACAUAUUCUGCGAAGGCCCCAGGAAGAAUCCUUACGGUGGAAAAUACUUCAGUUCUCAAAUUGAUUUUGAAGUUCUGUUACCAGGCAACCAUAUUUCUAAAAUUGGUUUUAUGUACAAUAUUGCUUAACUGUAUAUUAAUGGAAAUAUUUUUUUAAUUAAAAACCUGGGUAUAAAAUAAAAUGUCGUUGGGGCGCCUGGGUGGCUCA
rnacentral:lncRNA from 1 species